rnacentral:rRNA from 1 species
UACGAAGGGGGCUAGCGUUGCUCGGAAUCACUGGGCGUAAAGCGCACGUAGGCGGGUCGUUAAGUCAGGGGUGAAAUCCCGGAGCUCAACUCCGGAACUGCCUUUGAUACUGGCGACCUUGAGGCUGGAAGAGGUUAGUGGAAUUCCCAGUGUAGAGGUGAAAUUCGUAGAUAUUCGCAAGAACACCAGUGGCGAAGGCGGCUGACUGGUCCGGAUCUGACGCUGAGGCGCGAAAGCGUGGGGAGCAAACAGG